rnacentral:rRNA from 1 species
UACGUAGGGUCCGAGCGUUGUCCGGAAUUACUGGGCGUAAAGAGCUCGUAGGUGGUUUGUCGCGUUGUUCGUGAAAACUCGCAGCUCAACUGUGGGCGUGCGGGCGAUACGGGCAGACUUGAGUACUGCAGGGGAGACUGGAAUUCCUGGUGUAGCGGUGGAAUGCGCAGAUAUCAGGAGGAACACCGGUGGCGAAGGCGGGUCUCUGGGCAGUAACUGACGCUGAGGAGCGAAAGCGUGGGGAGCGAACAGG